rnacentral:rRNA from 1 species
AAGACCUUGCGCUUUUGGAGCGGCCGAUGUCUGAUUAGCUAGUUGGUGGGGUAAUGGCCUACCAAAGCUUCGAUCAGUAGCUGGUCUGAGAGGACGGCCAGCCACACUGGGACUGAGACACGGCCCAGACUCCUACGGGAGGCAGCAGUGGGGAAUUUUGGACAAUGGGCGCAAGCCUGAUCCAGCCAUGCCGCGUGAGUGAAGAAGGCCUUCGGGUUGUAAAGCUCUUUCAGCCGGGAAGAAAAGGCUGCGACUAAUAAUCGCAGUUCAUGACGGUACCGGAAGAAGAAGCACCGGCUAACUACGUGCCAGCAGCCACGGUAAUACGUAGGGUGCGAGCGUUAAUCGGAAUUACUGGGCGUAAAGGGUGCGCAGGCGGUUUUGUAAGUCAGAUGUGAAAUCCCCGGGCUUAACCUGGGAACU